rnacentral:rRNA from 1 species
UAAUACGUAAGGAGCGAGCGUUGUCCGGAUUUACUGGGCGUAAAGGGCUCGUAGGUGGUUUCUUAGGUCUCACGUGAAAUUCCCUGGCUCAACCAGGGAGGGUCGUGGGAAACCGAGAGGCUAGAGGGCAGGAGAGGAGAGUGGAAUUUCCGGUGUAGCGGUGAAAUGCGUAGAGAUCGGGAGGAACACCAGUGGUGAAGACGGCUCUCUGGACUGUCCCUGACACUGAGGAGCGAAAGCCAGGGGAGCAAACCGGAUUAGAUACCCGGGUAGUCCUGGCCGUAAACGAUGGGUACUAGGUGUGGGGGGUUCGACCCCCUCCGUGCCGCAGUUAACGCAUUAAGUACCCCGCCUGGGGAGUACGGCCGCAAGGUUGAAACUCAAAGGAAUUGACGGGGGCCCGCACAAGCGGUGGAGCAUGUGGUUUAAUUCGAUGCAACGCGAGGAACCUUACCAGGGCUUGACAUGCUGGUGGUAGGAGCCCGAAAGGGUAACGACCUCUGGUUUACCAGAGGAGCCAGUACAGGUGCUGCAUGGUUGUCGUCAGCUCGUGUCGUGAGAUGUUGGGUUAAGUCCCACAACGAGCGCAACCCCUGUCCUUAGUUGCCACAGGUAAUGCUGAGCACUCUAAGGAGACUGCCAGGGACAACCUGGAGGAAGGUGGGGAUGACGUCAAAUCCUCAUGGCCCUUAUGUCCUGGGCGACACACGUGCUACAAUGGCCAGUACAGAGGGUUGCAAACCCGUAAGGGGGAGCCAAUCCCAGAAAACUGGCCCCAGUUGGGAUUGUCGGCUGCAACUCGCCGACAUGAACGAGGAAUCGCUAGUAAUCGCGCAUCAGCCACGGCGCGGUGAAUACGUUCCCGGGCCUUGUACACACCGCCCGUCACACCACGAAAGUCGAUUCCACCUGAAGUCAUCGGGCUAACCCCUUAAAGGGGAGGCAGGUGCCUAGGGUGGGGUUGAUGAUUGGGGUG